rnacentral:rRNA from 1 species
AUUGAACGCUGGCGGCAUGCCUUACACAUGCAAGUCGAACGGUAACGGGCCUUCGGGUGCCGACGAGUGGCGAACGGGUGAGUAAUGUAUCGGAACGUACCUUUCAGUGGGGGAUAACGUAGCGAAAGUUACGCUAAUACCGCAUAUUCUGUGAGCAGGAAAGCAGGGGAUCGCAAGACCUUGCGCUGAUUGAGCGGCCGAUAUCAGAUUAGCUCGUUGGUGAGGUAAAGGCGCACCAAGGCGACGAUCUGUAGCGGGUCUGAGAGGAUGAUCCGCCACACUGGAACUGAGACACGGUCCAGACUCCUACGGGAGGCAGCAGUGGGGAAUUUUGGACAAUGGGGGCAACCCUGAUCCAGCCAUGCCGCGUGAGUGAAGAAGGCCUUCGGGUUGUAAAGCUCUUUCGGCCGGGAAGAAAUCGUAUCAGCUAAUACCUGGUGCGGAUGACGGUACCGGCAUAAGAAGCACCGGCUAACUACGUGCCAGCAGCCGCAGUAAAAC